AUGUCCCCUUUAAUAUAUAUAUGCUAAAUGUUUUGCGAUUAUCUUUUGAAAAUUCUAAGUAGGAUUGGAUAUCAUUAUUUGGAAGGUAAAAUUUUGACCAAAGAAAAGAGAUCAAAAGUAUUCUAUUUCUGCAAGUAUGGUUAUGAUGGAGUUUCUUCAAUUAAGUCGAUCAGGGAGUGGACUGAGCUGAGGAUUAUUGACGAUGAAGAAAUUUGAAUUAUUGUUGAAGGGCUGCAAAAAAUGUGUCUGUGGAUGGAAUUGUAUGACACGAACUUAAAGUGAUUGACUUUGCUGAAUAUAUCAACGAUAUGUAUUGCAAUACCCUUGCGAGAAGGACUGGAGAUCGUUGGAGAGUAAUAUUCUAACAAAAUUGACGGAAAAAAAAUUCAGUUUUCUUUGGAAGAAUAUGCGAUUCACAAUCAGUACUGGUGAAACUGGAUUCUAAGAGUAUGAAAAGUUUUUUCAAUCAAGUAGAUCGCGGUUAGAUCCAAUAUGAUGGGAAUGGAGUCGAGUGAGAGAUAAAGAAAAUUGCGAUUCUGCAAAUAGUAUGUAGAUCAAGUAGAUCGCAGAGGUGUUCAAUAUGAUGAGAAGACUGGACUCGAAAUAUAAAAAAUAUUUUGUUCCCGCUAGUUUGAUGGACGUUCUUCAAUCAAGUAGUUCGCGAAAGUAUUAGAUAUGAUGAGAGGAUUAGUGGAAAUAUUCAAUAUGAUGAGAAGAUUAGACUUGAAAGAUCAAAAGUAUUCUGUUUCUGCCAGUUUGAUGGUCGUUCUUUAAUCAAGUAGAUCGCGGAUGCAUUUAGUAUUAUUAGACUGAGCUCAAGAUAUCAAGAAAAUUAUCUUUCUACAAAUCAGACGAUGUUUCUUCAAUCAAGUAGAUCGCCGAGAUAUUCAAUAUGAUGAGAAUGGACUUGAUAGAUCAAAAGUAUUCUGUUUCUGACAGUAUGAUGAUGGUUCUUCAAUCAAGUAUAUCAUGGAAGUAUUCGAUAUGAUGAGACUGCACUCGAGGUAUCGAAAAAAUGGUGUUUCUGAACAUAAGAUGGUCGUUCUUAAAUCAAGUAGAUCGCGGAGGUAUUUAAUAUUAUGAGACUGAACUCAAGAUAUCAUGAAAAUGGCAACCCUGCAAAAUCCAUAUUUAAUGUGGCGAGAAGACUGGACUCGAUAGAUCAAAUAUGAUGGUACUGCUUCUAUAAAGUAGAUUGCGGAGGUAUUCGAUAUGAUGAGAAGAUUAGACUCGAGAGAUAAAAAGUAUUCUGUUUCUGCCCGUAUGAUGGUGGUUCUUCAAUCAAGUAGAUGAGGGAGGUAUUCGAUAUGAUGAGACUGCACUCGAGGUAUCGGGAAAAUUGUGUUUCUGAAAAAAGUAUAUCGCGGAGAUAUUUAAUAUUAUGAGACUGGACUAAAGAUAUAUAUAUGAUGAGAAGACUGCACUCAAGAUAUCAUAAAAAGUGCAAUUCUGCAAAUUCAAUAUUCAAUAUGAUGAGAAAACUGGAUUCGAAAGAUCAAAAGUAUUGUUUCUGACAGUAUGAUGGUGGUUCUUCAAUCAAGUAGCUCGCGGAGGCAUUUACUAUGAUGCGACUGGACUCAAGAUAUCAAGAAAAUUGUCUUUCUACAAAUCAGAUGGUGUUUCUUCAAUCAAGUAGACCGCCGAGAUAUUCAAUAUGAUUGGACUCGAAAGAUCAAAAGUAUUCUGUUUCUGACAAUAUGAUGGUGGUUCUUCAAUCAAGAAGAUCGCGGAGGCAUUUAAUAUUAUGAGACUGAACUCAAGAUAUCAUGAAAAUGGCAACCUUGCAAAAUCCAUAUUUAAUGUGUCGAGAAGACUGGACUCGAUAGAUCAAAUAUGAUGGUGUUUCUUCAAUCAAGUAGAUCGCGGAGGUAUUCGAUAUGAUGUGACUGCACUCGAGGUAUCAGGAAAAUUGUGUAUUUGCAAGUAUGACGGAGUUUCUUUAAGUAUAUAGCGGAGGUAUAUAAUAUGAUGCGACUGGACUCGAGAUAUCAAGAAAAUUGUGUUUCUGCAAAUUUAACAUGAGAUAUGAUGAGAACACUGGACUCGAUAUAUCGAAAGUAUUUUGUUUCUGACAGUAUGAUGGUGGUUCUUCAAUCAAGUAGUUCGCGGGGGUAUUCAAUAUUACGAGACUGGACUUAAGAUAUCAAUAUGAUGAGAGGACUGGACUUAAGAUGUCAUCAAAAUUGCAAUUCUGCAAAUUUAAUAUUCAACAUGAUGAGAGAAGAUUGGACUCGAAAGAUCAAAAGUAUUCUGUUUCUGACAGUAUGAUGGUGGUUCUUCAGUCAAGUAGUUCGCGGACAUUCAAUAUGAUUAGACUGAACCCGAGGCAUCAGGAAAAUUGUGUUUCUGCAAAUUCAACAUGAGAUAUGAUGAGAGGACUGGACUCGAUAGAUCAUAUUUGGUGGUGUUUCUUCAAUCAAGUAGAUCGCGGUACCUCCGCAAUAUGAUGAGAAGAUUGGACUCAAGAUGUCAUCAAAAUUGCAACUCUGCAAAUUCAAUAUUUAAUAUGAUGAGAAGAUUGGACUCGGAAGAUCAAAAGUAUUUUAUGUCUGCUUGUUUUAUGGUCUUUCUUCAUUCAAUUAGAUCGUGGAGGUAUUUAGUAUUAUGAAACUGAACUCAAGAUAUCAUAAAAAUGGCAACUUUGCAAAAUCCAUAUUUAAUGUGGCGAGAAGACUGGACUCGAAAGAUCAAAAGUAUUCUGUGUCUGACAGUAUGAUGGUGAUUCUUCACUCAAGUAUAUCGCGGGGGCAUUCAAUAUAAGACUGGACUAGAGAGAUCAAGAUAAUACUUAGAAAAUUGUGUUUCUGCAAAUUUGAUGGUGUUUCUUCAUUCAAGUAGCUCGGAGAGUGGACUUGUAUUCAAAAAGAGGACAUUGGACUCUAGAGAUCAAAAGUAUUUCUGCAAGUAUAAUGGAAUUUCUACCACUACUAGAUCACGGGGGCAUUCGAUAUGAUGAGACUGGCGUUCAAAAUGAUGAGACUGGACUCGAAAGACCAAAGGUAUUCUGUUUCUGCAAGUAUGAUGGAGUUUCUUCAAUUAAGUUGAGCGGCGAGGCAUGGGACUGGGCUCGAGAGAUCAUGAAUAUUCUAUUGCUGCAAUAAUGACUAUGAUGGAGUUUUCUCGAUCAAUGUUAGAGCGUUAAAAUGAAAAACACUCCACAUUUGCCGAAUUCAAGAUCUUAA
rnacentral:sRNA from 1 species